AGUGUAAACACAACCACACCAUGACCUCUAAUGGUCACACAAAUGUUACUGCUCACCUUCCCCCUGGAACCAGGCUGAAAGUAAAAGCCGGUCCGGUACCAGGAAGAGGGUGGAGCGGCCGUCCUUCAGAACCAGAUCCCAGCUGGCCUUCCUGUCAGAGCAGAUGUAAACAUGACUCAGUCUGUCUGUGAAGGCUCCUGCUGUGCCUCAGAGCUGCAGCUGCUUCUUCAUUAACUCACCUGAUAAAACACCUGUUCCCUCAGCUGGACAUCUUAGUUUCUGUGUUUCCAUUAGAACAGUGUAAAACAGAGUUUAAAACAGGUUUUAGUGAUGAAAUCUCUACAGUUUUUCCACAGUAAUGGGGGUUCAGCCCCUCACCCUGUGUUUAUCAGUGUCAUGUUCACAGUAACGCCCCCUGCUGGCAGUAACUGUUACAUCAUGUGAACAGUCUGAUUGUGGUGGAGCUUCUGCCCUGUGGACACCUGGUGGACUUAGCUGAUGUGAAGAAUACGAUGAGCUCAUAACAUGCAGGGAUGUCUGUCAGUAACGUAAAUGAAACACCUGGGGCCUGGUGCAGUGUUUGUGCUCCCAG